rnacentral:tRNA from 1 species
AAAGGGAGACCUAAUUCAGGUAAAAGACGAAAAAAAAGUAGUCGCUACCAAGAAUCAAUCCCAAAAGGUCGGAGCGAGGCGAAAUUGGCUUUCAAACUAGGUUCUGGGUUCAAACAAGACCUGAAUCAGGAACAAGGGCUAUUAGCUCAGGUGGUUAGAGCGCACCCCUGAUAAGGGUGAGGUCCCUGGUUCGAGUCCAGGAUGGCCCACCUGCACAGGUGGCAAAAACAAGAGAAGCUCCGAAUCAGCACCUUAUCUUACUGACAUAGUAAGAGAGAAUGCUGGCUCUGAGUAAAGAGUCCAGAGGAACCUUGAAAACUGCAUAGAGCUAGGUGAAAAAGCCAAAAAAGAAGACCGCAAG